UACGUAGGGGGCUAGCGUUGUCCGGAAUCAUUGGGCGUAAAGCGCGCGUAGGCUGCCAGAUAAGUCCGGUGUGAAAGUCAAAGGCUCAACCUUUGAAUCCCGCUGGAAACUGUCUGGCUAGAGUCCGGAAGGGGCGAGUGGAACUCCUGGUGUAGCGGUGAAAUGCGCAGAUAUCAGGAAGAACACCAAUGGCGAAGGCAGCUCGCUAGGACGGUACUGACGCUGAGGCGCGAAAGCGUGGGGAGCAAACAGG
rnacentral:rRNA from 1 species